rnacentral:tRNA from 1 species
ACCUCCGGCGGAGUCCACCCUAGGUUUCCGGUACCAAAGGUCGCAGGUUCGAUUCCUGUCGGGGGCACCA